ensembl:lncRNA
AAAGAAAAGUGGCACCAGUAUUGUUGCCUCCCUCAUACCCUCAAGGUCCCAGACGUGAUAGUCCUCUAGGAGCUCUGAAGAGUGGAGACCAGGGUAGAUGAUGGAUCACCGGGUAAACCAUGAAGAAUGCCGGGAUAUGGAGCAGCAGUAGUGACCACACCUACUGGGACAACCCAUCUUGUCACUGUCCUAUUAGACAAGGUCCAAGAUAGGCUGUUUGAAAGUACCUCACCUGGGAAGGCAAAUGCACCCCCAUGGACAAGAACUUCACAUGAAUUUUCAAGAUUGGCAGUGAACUUCACAGUGGAUGUGAUCUCACGUUCCACCAAUAAAAAUCCCCGGGGUAAAAAGCAUAAAGAAAGAAGAAGCCAUUUUUCCUGGCUUCUCCAG